GCGAAGCCGCGCGGGCGGGCGAAAACGCCGGCACCGGUUUCCUAAACCGGGUGUCGGAGGUUCGAAUCCUUCCAGGCGCA
rnacentral:tRNA from 1 species